UCCUGGUAAAAUCGGGUAGCUUAACUAUCUGUAUGCUAGGAAUACUGCUAUACUAGAGGGCGGGAGAGGUCUGAGGUACUACAGGGGUAGGGGUGAAAUUUUAUAAUCCUUGUAGGACCACCAGUGGCGAAGGCGUCAGACCGGAACGCGCCUGACGGUGAGGGACGAAAGCCAGGGGAGCGAACCGGAUUAGAUACCCGGGUAGUCCUGGCCGUAAACGAUGCAUACUAGGUGAUGGCACGGCUAUGAGCCGUGUCAGUGCCGUAGGGAAACCGUUAAGUGUGCCGCCUGGGAAGUACGGUCGCAAGGCUAAAACUUAAAGGAAUUGGCGGGGGAGCACCACAAGGGGUGAAGCCUGCGGUUCAAUUGGACUCAACGCCGGGAAACUUACCAGGGGAGACAGUAGAAUGCAGGUCAGGUUGACGACCUUACCUAACGAGCUGAGAGGAGGUGCAUGGCCGUCGCCAGUUCGUGCUGUGAGGUAUCCUGUUAAGUCAGGCAACGAACGAGAUCCGCGCCUCUAUUUGCCAGCAAGAAGUUAAGACUUCGUUGGGAACACUAAAGGGACCGCCGCCGAUAAGACGGAGGAAGGAGCGGGCAAAGGCAGGUCAGUAUGCCCCGAAACCCCUGGGCUACACGCGGGCUGCAAUGGUAUGAACAAUGGGCUGUAACUCCGAAAGGAGAAACCAAUCCCGAAAUCAUAUCUCAGUUGGAAUUGUCGGCUGUAACCCGCCGACAUGAACGUGGAAUCCCUAGUAAUCGUGUGUCAUCAUCGCACGGUGAAUACGUCUCUGCUCCUUG
rnacentral:rRNA from 1 species